rnacentral:rRNA from 2 species
UAGAGUUUUAUCAUGGCUCAGAACGAACGCUGGCGGCGUGCCUAACACAUGCAAGUCGAGCGCGAAUAGGGGCAACCCUUAGUAGAGCGGCGCACGGGUGCGUAACACGUGGAUAAUCUGCCUGGAUGCCCGGGAUAACCAGUCGAAAGAUUGGCUAAUACCGGAUAAGCCCACGGCCUCUUCGGAGACUGAGGGAAAAGGUGGCCUCUGUAUACAAGCUAUCACAACCAGAUGAGUCCGCGGCCCAUCAGCUAGUUGGCGGGGUAAUGGCCCACCAAGGCAACGACGGGUAGCUGGUCUGAGAGGACGAUCAGCCACACUGGAACUGAGACACGGUCCAGACUCCUACGGGAGGCAGCAGUGGGGAAUUUUGCGCAAUGGGCGAAAGCCUGACGCAGCAACGCCGCGUGUGUGAUGAAGGUCUUUGGAUUGUAAAGCACUUUCGACCGGGACGAAAACCCGUUGGCUAACAUCCAACGGCUUGACGGUACCGGGAGAAGAAGCACCGGCUAACUCUGUGCCAGCAGCCGCGGUAAUACAGAGGGUGCAAGCGUUGUUCGGAAUUAUUGGGCGUAAAGCGCGUGUAGGCGGCGUGACAAGUCGGGUGUGAAAGCCCUCAGCUCAACUGAGGAAGUGCGCCCGAAACUGUCGUGCUUGAGUGCCGGAGAGGGUGGCGGAAUUCCCCAAGUAGAGGUGAAAUUCGUAGAUAUGGGGAGGAACACCGGUGGCGAAGGCGGCCACCUGGACGGUUACUGACGCUGAGACGCGAAAGCGUGGGGAGCAAACAGGAUUAGAUACCCUGGUAGUCCACGCCGUAAACGAUGAGAACUAGGUGU